rnacentral:lncRNA from 1 species
AACUUUUAUAUCUUUCAUCUUCUUUAUUUGUUCAGGUUCCUUUCUUCGUGUCUUUUCUCUUCUUGAUUUAAGUUCUUUGAGGGAAAUUAUGGCCUCUGGGUAAUUGGAUGGAUCAAAGCUUAAGGGACACAUUUGAUCAAAAUUGUUACCGCUAUGGAUGUGGUGUAUGCGUUGAAGAUGCAGGGGUGGACUCUGCACAAAUUUAGUGGUUAGGUUUGUUUUAUACUGGUUCGGGUUAGGAUCUGUUUUCCUUUUGUGUUAAAGAUGAAUUACUGUAAAACUUAGUGGUUUGUUGCCUACAUAAAUACAAUACUGAAUAUU